rnacentral:rRNA from 1 species
UUAAAAUAUAAUUUAAUUUAUUUGAGUAGUAUUAGUUAUAUUCUUGAAACUUAAAAAAUUUGGCGGUAUUUUAGUCUAUUUAAAGGAACUUGUUUUUUAAUCGAUAAUCCACGAUGUACCUUACUUAAAAUUGUUAUUCAAUUUAUAUAUCGUUGUUAUUAGAAUAUUUUAUAAGAAUAAUAAUUUUCUAUAAUUUAUAUUAAAAUUAAUAUCAAAUCAAGGUGUAGUUUAUUUUUAAGUUUAAAUGAGUUACAAUAAAAUUUAUUUAUGUGGAAUUAAUAAUGAAAAAUUUAAUGAAAUUGGAUUUAAUAGUAAAAUUAUAA